CUUCUUUGAAUCUUCAGGGUGGAAGUCUUGACCAUUUUUGAAAUAUGAUCCUAGCUUUCUAAAAUCUCUUAUCAAAUAUUUAAAUAACUCAUUAGUACCAAUCAAAUAUUCAAAUAUUUUAUUAUUCAUCAAAAUCAAACCUAAGAUCAACAGCAACAAACCCUAACUUAUGGAAUGGAUACAUUUAUUAGAUAAAAGGUCAACAUAGUCUUUGCUUGAUGCUUUGAUGAUUCAUGAUAACUCAAUGGAUCACACGGCCAUGUGCUGAUAAUGCAUCAUUCAAAUUUCUAUCCUAUCAACUUUCAGUGAUAGAAUAGGAGCCUACCAUGGUAGUGAUGGGAUAUGAAGAAUUAGUCUUUGAUUCUGGAAAGAGAGCUCGAGAAACAGUUGCCACAUCCAAGGAAGGCAGUAGGUGCACUAAUUAUCCAAUCCUGACAUAGGGAGGUAGAGAUAAUAAAUAACAGCAUCGGGCUUCUCGAGUCUGGUAAUUGGAAUAAGCACAAUCUAAAUCCCUUAAUAAGGAUCCAUUAGAGGGAAAGUCCGAUGCCAACAACCACAGUAAUUAAAAUAUCAAUAGUGUGUAUUUAAGUUGUUGUAGUUAAAAAUUUCACGGCUGGACCUUAGGUUGGGCUGACUGGUCCACUCCACGAUGUGCACUUGCCUUCCUUCCUCUUCUUCCAGCAAUGUGCUCCUAUCCUUAAUUGGAUGGGUCAUGCCUCCAGCGCCAUUACUUUGAAGAAAUUAGAGUGCUCGAAGCAAGAACACUCUCUAAAAAUAUUCGCAUGGGAUAACAUCAUAGGAUUUCAGUCUUAUUGUGUUGGCCUUCAAAAUCGGAGUAAUGAUUAGGAGGGACAAAUGGGGACAUUCAUGUUUCACAAUCAAAGAUGAAAUUCUUGGAUUUAUGAAAGACAAACUAUUGUGAAAGCAUUUGCCAAGGAUAUUUUUAUUACUCAAGAAUGAAAGUUGGGUGCUCUAAAAUGAUCAGAUAUAGUCCUAGUCUCAACCAUAAACAGUGCCAACUAGGGAUUGGUGGAUAUUGUUUUCAAGACUCCACCAGCAUGUUAUGACAAAUCAAAGUUUUUGGGUUCUGGAGGUAGUAUGGUUUCAAGGCUGAAACUUAAAGUUAUUGAUGGAAGGGCAUUAUCAGGAGUGGAGCCUGCAACUUAAUUUGACUCAACAUAGAAAAACUUAUGAAGUCCAGACAUAGCAAGGAUUGAUAGAUUGAGAGCUCUUUCUUGAUCUAUGGAUGGUGGUGCACAGCCGUUCUUAGUUGGUGGAGUCAUUUGUCUAGUUAAUUUUAUUAACAAAUGAGACCUCAACCUGCUAACUAGCUAUGCCUCAUGCACUGUUGUAUGAUGUAGAGGGUAGUUUGCCUCGAAGUGAAAGAGAUGCAAGUUCCUCUCUCUCUAUAGGCACCAAGAUAUCAUGGAUAUCAAAUAGUUUUAUUCUAUAUGUGUUGGUUAUUCGAUAGUUUGUCCUAUAAUGGUCUCCAUAGCAGGUCUAUUGAAUAUGGCAACUCUGUUAUUGUCAAUUUAUCAAUGAUGCAGCUCCAAAGUCUUCUAAAGAAUCCACAUUCAAGGAACAAAUGAGUUGAUAUUUCCUCUUCCUGUACACACAGAGUGUAAGAGU
rnacentral:rRNA from 1 species